UAAUUUCCUCUAUAUAGGUGUAGCAGGGCUUAUUAAAGGCCAUAUGCAAAAUUUGCAUUACUAAUGGCUUGUACAUUCUGAAUACUACUCCCUCCGUUGCACAAAAAGAGCCCAGUUAGUAAACUUUGCAAAUAUUAAGUUUGUAUUUUUGUACCAUGUUUAUCCCUAUAAAUUGUUAAUUUUGUAGGGAUGGCAUGAUGAAUGAAACUUCGAUGGCGAACUUGAACACAUUGCGGAAUUUUACACUACCAUCAAAGAAAUGAGACUCUUUUGUAGAACAAACAAAAGAAGAAUUGGUAAAUGAUGCUCUUUUUCUGGAACAGAAAGAGUGUAACUUACCGAAUUUGUUUUUUUCUUCUGCAAUUUACAACUAUUCUAGGAAUCGAUUGUUUUAGUUUUUCUUCAUCAAAGUGGAGGUGUACAGAGGGUAGUUCAUAUCCCUUUCAUUAUAAUUUAUUCUGCUUGUGAUGCUGAGAAACAAAAGCUGGUUCCCAGAUUUUGCUUUAUAACUUCUCAGGUAUAUAUUGCUUAGUAUUGCUCAUGUGCUUACUAAUACAGAGCUGUUCUUAGAAAUUCUUUUUCUCUUCCUUCUACUUGCAUACUUAGUAUUGCAGGUUCUUAUAUUGAGCUGUUUCUUUACUCUUUUACAAGUUGGAGGUUUAUGCGCUGCAAUUGGCUCUGCAGGGGAAAGGUAGGCUGAGGUGCAGCAGUUAAGUAGUGAGGAUGAUGAAUGUAUCUGCAAUGGUCUGAUAGAGCAAGGUUUGUUGAUCUCUAUUGCAGCAAUGCAUCAUAACAG
rnacentral:lncRNA from 1 species